rnacentral:rRNA from 1 species
UACGUAGGGUGCGAGCGUUAAUCGGAAUUACUGGGCGUAAAGCGUGCGCAGGCGGUUUUGCAAGCCGGAUGUGAAAUCCCCGGGCUCAACCUGGGAAUGGCAUUCGGGACUGCAAGGCUGGAGUGCGGCAGAGGAGACUGGAAUUCCUGGUGUAGCAGUGAAAUGCGUAGAUAUCAGGAGGAAUGCCGAUGGCGAAGGCAGGUCUCUGGGCUGACACUGACGCUCGUGCACGAAAGCGUGGGGAGCAAACAGG